UCCUCCUCCUACAAACCGGUCCAGGGCUUGAAUUCCAGUCCCCUCAGCCGACGUGGGGACUCCUCCCAGGAGGUGCUCGCGUCCGUGGUGGAAUCUUCCGCGAGGGGCUGCCUGACCCGAGAGCUACGGGGGCACGCUUGCUGAGAUCAGCAGCGACAUGCCAAUGUCAUGUUGGUGGCAGAAGGCAAAGGUCAUGUUUACUGCAAGCAGAGGUGCCCGGAGCUGCCACGGGGGCUGCCGGCGGGGGAUCUUGAGGAGGAGCGCGGCUGCAGCUGUGAAUCCGCGCUUGCCUGACGCAGACAGCCUCAAACCUCAAACCACCCGGGGAGGGAUCGCGGAGGCUCCACACCCAGCAUGGAGCCCAAUGUGGGACCUGAACUCAUGACCCAGAGAUCAAGACCUGAGCUGAAUCAAGCAUCAAGAAUCAGAUGCUCGGGGCGCCUGGGUGGCUCAGUCAUUAAGCGUCUGCCUUCGGCUCAGGUCAGGAUCCCAGGCUCCUGGGAUCGAGCCCCGCAUUGGGCUCCCUGCUCUGCAGGAAACCUGCUUCUCUCUCUCCCACUCCCCCUGAUUGUGUUCCCUCUCUCGCUAUGUCUC